GCUGCAUGGCUGUCGUCAGCUCGUGUCGUGAGAUGUUGGGUUAAGUCCCGCAACGAGCGCAACCCUUGUCUUUAGUUGCCAUCAUUAAGUUGGGCACUCUAAAGAGACUGCCGGUGUCAAACCGGAGGAAGGUGGGGAUGACGUCAAGUCCUCAUGGCCUUUAUGACCAGGGCUACACACGUACUACAAUGGCAGGUACAAAGGGCAGCCACUUAGCGAUAAGGCGCGAAUCCCGUAAAACCUGUCUCAGUCCGGAUUGGAGUCUGCAACUCGACUCCAUGAAGUUGGAAUCGCUAGUAAUCGCAGAUCAGCACGCUGCGGUGAAUACGUCCGGCCUU
rnacentral:rRNA from 1 species